GCGUUGUGGCUCUGUGUUGGAGCGCUUGCCUAGCAUGUGUGAGGCCCUGGGUUCGAUUCUCAGCACCACACA
rnacentral:tRNA from 1 species